rnacentral:rRNA from 1 species
UACGAAGGGGGCUAGCGUUGCUCGGAAUUACUGGGCGUAAAGGGAGCGUAGGCGGACUGUUAAGUCAGGGGUGAAAUCCCAGAGCUCAACUCUGGAACUGCCUUUGAUACUGGAUGUCUUGAGUGUGAGAGAGGUAUGUGGAACUCCGAGUGUAGAGGUGAAAUUCGUAGAUAUUCGGAAGAACACCAGUGGCGAAGGCGACAUACUGGCUCAUUACUGACGCUGGGGCGCGAAAGCGUGGGGAGCAAACAGG